AAUAUAUCGGAACGUGCUCAGUCGUGGGGGAUAACGCAGCGAAAGCUGUGCUAAUACCGCAUACGAUCUACGGAUGAAAGCGGGGGAUCGCAAGACCUCGCGCGAUUGGAGCGGCCGAUAUCAGAUUAGGUAGUUGGUGGGGUAAAAGCCCACCAAGCCGACGAUCUGUAGCUGGUCUGAGAGGACGACCAGCCACACUGGAACUGAGACACGGUCCAGACUCCUACGGGAGGCAGCAGUGGGGAAUUUUGGACAAUGGGCGCAAGCCUGAUCCAGCAAUGCCGCGUGCAGGAUGAAGGCCUUCGGGUUGUAAACUGCUUUUGUACGGAACGAAACGGCUCUUUCUAAUAAAGAGGGCUAAUGACGGUACCGUAAGAAUAAGCACCGGCUAACUACGUGCCAACAGCCGCGGUAAUACGUAGGGUGCGAGCGUUAAUCGGAAUUACUGGGCGUAAAGCGUGCGCAGGCGGUUAUUCAAGUCAGGGGUGAAAGCCUGGAGCUCAACUCCAGAACUGCCCUUGAAACUAGAUAACUAGAAUCUUGGAGAGGUGAGUGGAAUUCCGAGUGUAGAGGUGAAAUUCGUAGAUAUUCGGAAGAACACCAGUGGCGAAGGCGACUCACUGGACAAGUAUUGACGCUGAGGUACGAAAGCGUGGGGAGCAAACAGGAUUAGAUACCCUGGUAGUCCACGCCGUAAACGAUGAUAACUAGCUGUUCGGGCUCUACGAGCUUGAGUGGCGCAGCUAACGCAUUAAGUUAUCCGCCUGGGGAGUACGGUCGCAAGAUUAAAACUCAAAGGAAUUGACGGGGGCCUGCACAAGCGGUGGAGCAUGUGGUUUAAUUCGAAGCAACGCGCAGAACCUUACCAGCGUUUGAC
rnacentral:rRNA from 1 species